AGCGAACGCUGGCGGCAGGCCUAACACAUGCAAGUCGAACGAACUCUUCGGGGUGAGUGGCGGACGGGUGAGUAACACGAGGGAACGGGCCUUUAUGUUCGGAAUAACUUGGGGAAAGUGGUGCUAAUUCCGAAUGAGACCUUAGGGGGAAAGAUUUAUCGGCUUUAGAGCGGCCCGCGUGUGAUUAGCUAGUUGGUGAGGUAAAGGCUCACCAAGGCGACGGUCAGUAGCUGGUCUGAGAGGAUGAGCAACCACAUUGGGACUGGGACACGGCCAAAACGCCUACGGGAGGCAGCAGAGGGGAAUCUUGCGCAAUGGGCGAAAGCAUAACGCAGCCAUGCCGCAUAAAUGGUGAAGGGCUCAGGAUUGGAAAAUUCUCUCACAGGGGACAAUAAUGACGGUACCCGGAGAAGAAGCCACGGCUAACUACGUG
rnacentral:rRNA from 1 species